GCCUGUUUAACAAAAACACCGCCUUCUGAGGAAAAUGGGAGGUCUGGCCUGCCCACUGUGAUUAAAGGGCCGCAGUAUUUUGACUGUGCAAAGGUAGCAUAAUCAUUAGUCUUUUAAUUGAAGGCUGGUAUGAAUGGUUGGAUGAGGUAAUGGCUGUCUCUCACAAAAUAAAUAUAACUUAGCCUCUUAGUCAAAAGGCUAAGAUAGGGUUGGAGGACGAGAAGACCCUAUAGAUCUUUAUGGAAUUAUGUGGUACUUGAAGGUGAGUUAGGGUUUUACAAAAUUUCUAUUUGGUUGGGGUGACAAGGAAAUAAAUUAACUUUCUUUAUUUUAACACUGAUUAGUGAUUAGAUGAUCCAUAAGUUAUGAUUAAAAGAGUAAGUUACCUUAGGGAUAACAGCAUAAUCUUCUUAGAGAGUUCUAAUCGAUAAGGAGGGUUGUGACCUCGAUGUUGGACUAAGAUUUAGUCUAGGUGUAGCAGCUUAGGAUAAUGGUCUGUUCGACCAGUAAUAUCUUACAUGAUCUGAGUUCAAACCGGAGCUCC
rnacentral:rRNA from 1 species